UACGGAGGGUGCAAGCGUUGUUCGGAAUUAUUGGGCGUAAAGGGCAGGCAGGUGGUCUGGUAAGUCUACUGUGCAAUCCCCGGGCUUAACUCGGGAAGUGCGGUGGAUACUGGAUGGCUUGAGUUUGGGAGAGGGAUGCGGAAUUCCAGGUGUAGCGGUGAAAUGCGUAGAUAUCUGGAGGAACACCGGUGGCGAAGGCGGCAUCCUGGACCAACACUGACGCUGAGUGAGCGAAAGCCAGGGGAGCAAACGGG
rnacentral:rRNA from 1 species